GCGGGGCCGGGCUGGGGGCGGAGCGGAGCGCCGGGCGGGGGUGAGGGCGGAGGGGGGAGCGCGUCAUGUCCAAGCACGUGUUUCUCACGGGACCCCCAGGGGUUGGAAAGACUACUUUGAUCCAGAAAGUCACUGAAGCUCUGAAAUCCUCUGGCAUUCCCAUUGAUGGAUUUUACACACAGGAAGUUAGAGAAGGUGGAAGGAGAACAGGAUUUGAUGUUGUCACUCUGUCUGGAAACCGAGGACCUUUAUCUAGAGUCAGUUCUGAUUCUUCUGCUUCAAGACGUGAAUACCGGGUAGGACAAUAUGUUGUAGAUCUUGUUUCAUUUGAGCAGUUGGUUCUACCUAUGCUGAGAAAUGUAAACCAUGGUGGUGACACAGAGAAAAGAAUUUGUGUCAUAGAUGAGAUUGGUAAAAUGGAGCUCUUCAGCCAGGCUUUUAUUCAAGCUGUUCGUCAAACGCUGGCUGGCUCAGGAACCGUGGUGCUUGGAACUAUUCCAAUACCUAAGGGAAAGCCACUGGAUCUUGUUGAAGAAAUAAGAAGUAGGAAAGAUGUUAAAGUGUUCAAUUACAGAUACUGGGAGAUUUGUUCACUCCGGGAAAGCUGCCUGCACUAAAUGUCUCCAGAUCUUAAGAGGAGACUUAUAUCUAUCAAACAGCCUUUAUAAAACAGUUGUGAAAAUUUCCUAGCACUUGGAGCUUUCUCUCUGCUGCUCUCACUGGACUUCUGGCAUAUAGGUUAGUAAGGAAAACAGAAACAGCAUUUUGCAAGACAUCUUGGCAGCUGUAGAAUCCUGCAGAAAAUGAAGACCUCUUCUGUCCUGUAAAAACUAAAGCUUUCAUUUCAACAAAACAUUACAACAUUUCAUGGAUGGUUUAGAGCCUGUCCUUCCUGCUUUUGCCCCCUCAAAGCUUUACUGGUGCCUUCAGCGUAAGCAGGGUAAAGCUGGUAAUACUAAAAUGGGAUGGCAGGAUUGUAAUUUAUUCAGUUCACUGAAUUGGAAAAAACAUGAACAGAUGUGUAGCUAACAUCCAGUUUUAAUCUGGGUGUUUGGAAGUUAGAUGGUCAACUCUGAUCCGAGUUACCUCAUGUGAAAACAACUAACUGUAAAAUCUGCUUGAUAUCUUAGUCUUUCUGAGCAUGUUCAGAUCAAUUCAAUAUCUGCCUACAGAUGAAUUCAAUAUCUGCAACGUAGCCCUGGUGCAACAGAACAGAACCCUGUCCAAAAUGUAGAUGAGUCCUGCCUGGUUUAUGCAGGAGUGUAGCUGUUGGUGACCCAGCUUAGGUGUAUUCAGGUGUGUUUUAGCACGGGUGCUGACAAAUCAGCAGGUAGAGGGAAUAAGCAGUUGUGCUCUCUCCUCCUACCCCCAGGCAGCCCUGUCUGCAGUUGCAGUAUAAUCAGGGUUAUCCAGAGUUUCAAGGAAACUUCCUGUAGUCACAAGUGACAUUUACAGAAUUCUGGUUUUGGAGGGAAAAUAGCCAAAUCUACCCUCUCUUACUAAUUGAUAAGAGGACUGCAUUUUGUAUUAAUUUUCAGUUUUCUGGUGGUAAUUCUGUCCCACACCCCCUUACAAAUAAUAUAUAAAAAAAUCUUCAAGUCCAUGAAGUUAGUAAAAUCUUGUGUUUUUCAUGCUGA